rnacentral:lncRNA from 1 species
CCACCCUCUCCAUCGAGCAUACAUAGGAAGUGCUAGUUUAUCCAAAACAUUAAUCCCCUUCUUAAUGCUCCUAUGACUAGAAAUAUUUUAAAUCAGGACUUUUAAGAUUUUAGAACUCAUAGGUAUGAUCUCAUCAUAACCCUAAACCCAUUACUCUGAUUUAUGGAGUUCAUCAUAAUCAUUACAAAAGUAAGAUGCAG